rnacentral:tRNA from 1 species
GCAGUCGUGGCCGAGUGGUUGAGGCAAUGAACUAGAAAUCCAUUGGGGUCUCCCGAACAGGUUCGAAUCCUGUCGACUGCG